rnacentral:rRNA from 1 species
GAUGCUCAUUAAUCAGUUAUCGUUUAUUUGAUAGUACCUUACUACAUGGAUAACCGUGGUAAUUCUAGAGCUAAUACAUGCUAAAAACCCCGACUCCGGGAGGGGUGUAUUUAUUAGAUAAAAAACCAACGCCCUUCGGGGCUCCUUGGUGAUUCAUAAUAACUCAACGAAUCGCAUGGCCUUGCGCCGGCGAUGGUUCAUUCAAAUUUCUGCCCUAUCAACUUUCGAUGGUAGGAUAGUGGCCUACCAUGGUAUCAACGGGUAACGGGGAAUUAGGGUUCGAUUCCGGAGAGGGAGCCUGAGAAACGGCUACCACAUCCAAGGAAGGCAGCAGGCGCGCAAAUUACCCAAUCCCGACACGGGGAGGUAGUGACAAUAAAUACUGAUACAGGGCUCUUUUGGGUCUUGUAAUUGGAAUGAGUACAAUUUAAAUCCCUUAACGAGGAACAAUUGGAGGGCAAGUCUGGUGGACGUAGACCUCAGCACUGCUGACGCCAGACAGAGCGGGGCCCCGGUCAUCCCGCUAGUCGAGCACCCGAUCCGUGACGGGUGGGUGCCGGCAAGGUAACCUGGUACGGGGGAGCCUGGCGGUCCCUUUGGGGGGACCCACGGCGAUCCCGUGACGAGCGGCUCCACGGGCCGCCGUCGUAACGCGCGCAAAGGUACCGGUCGUCCCGCGACGGACGGCUCGAGGGACGUGCUAUCCCCGCGCGAAAGCGCGCCCUUAACCGGAGCACCCGUCAUGCGAUGGUUCAAGGGGUACCCCGAUCCGAGCGGGGUGCGGCCGACGAUGAAAGAGGCCAGCAGCCGCGGUAAUUCCAGCUCCAAUAGCGUAUAUUAAAGUUGUUGCAGUUAAAAAGCUCGUAGUUGAACCUUGGGCCUGGCUGGCCGGUCCGCCUCACCGCGUGCACUGGUCCGGCCGGGCCUUUCCUUCUGGGGAUCCGCAUGCCCUUCACUGGGUGUGCCGGGGAACCAGGACUUUUACUGUGAAAAAAUUAGAGUGUUCAAAGCAGGCCUUUGCUCGAAUACAUUAGCAUGGAAAAUAGAAUAGGACGCGUUCUAUUUGUGGUC